CCUACGGGGGGCAGCAGUGAGGAAUAUUGGUCAAUGGACGAGAGUCUGAACCAGCCAAGUAGCGUGAAGGAUGACUGCCCUAUGGGUUGUAAACUUCUUUUAUAUGGGAAUAAAACGUUCCACGUGUGGGAUUUUGUAUGUACCAUAUGAAUAAGGAUCGGCUAACUCCGUGCCAGCAGCCGCGGUAAUACGGAGGAUCCGAGCGUUAUCCGGAUUUAUUGGGUUUAAAGGGAGCGUAGGUGGAUUGUUAAGUCAGUUGUGAAAGUUUGCGGCUCAACCGUAAAAUUGCAGUUGAAACUGGCAGUCUUGAGUACAGUAGAGGUGGGCGGAAUUCGUGGUGUAGCGGUGAAAUGCUUAGAUAUCACGAAGAACUCCGAUUGGGAAGGCAGUUCACUGGACUGCAACUGACACUGAGGCUCGAAAGUGUGGGUAUCAAACAGGAUUAGAGACCCGAGUAGUC
rnacentral:rRNA from 1 species